UACGUAGGGAGCAAGCGUUGUCCGGAAUCAUUGGGCGUAAAGCGCGCGUAGGUGGCCCCGUAAGUCCGCUGUGAAAGUCAAAGGCUCAACCUUUGAAAGCCGGUGGAUACUGUGGGGCUAGAGUACGGAAGAGGCGAGUGGAAUUCCUGGUGUAGCGGUGAAAUGCGCAGAUAUCAGGAGGAACACCAAUAGCGAAGGCAGCUCGCUGGGACGUUACUGACACUGAGGCGCGAAAGCGUGGGGAGCGAACAGG
rnacentral:rRNA from 1 species